UACGUAGGGAGCAAGCGUUGUCCGGAAUCAUUGGGCGUAAAGCGCGCGUAGGUGGCCUCAUAAGUCCGCUGUGAAAGUCAAAGGCUCAACCUUUGAAAGCCGGUGGAUACUGUGAGGCUAGAGUACGGAAGAGGCGAGUGGAAUUCCUGGUGUAGCGGUGGAAUGCGCAGAUAUCAGGAGGAACACCAAUAGCGAAGGCGGCUCGCUGGGCCGUUCCUGACGCUGAGACGCGAAAGCUAGGGGAGCGAACAGG
rnacentral:rRNA from 1 species